UACGAAGGGGGCUAGCGUUGCUCGGAAUCACUGGGCGUAAAGGGCGCGUAGGCGGGUUUUUAAGUCAGGGGUGAAAUCCUGGAGCUCAACUCCAGAACUGCCUUUGAUACUGAAGAUCUUGAGUCCGGGAGAGGUGAGUGGAACUGCGAGUGUAGAGGUGAAAUUCGUAGAUAUUCGCAAGAACACCAGUGGCGAAGGCGGCUCACUGGCCCGGUACUGACGCUGAGGCGCGAAAGCGUGGGGAGCAAACAGG
rnacentral:rRNA from 1 species